UCUCCGUAGGUGAACCUGCGGAGGGAUCAUUACCGAGUGAGGGUCCUUGUGGCCCGACCUCCAACCCCCUGUCUUCCGACUCUGUUGCCUCGGGGGCGACCCUGCCGUCCGCGGCUGAGCGCCCCCGGGGUCAAUCAAACACUGCAUUCUCUGCGUCGGAGUAUUAGUAAAUCUAAUCAAAACUUUCAACAACGGAUCUCUUGGUUCUGGCAUCGAUGAAGAACGCAGC
rnacentral:misc_RNA from 1 species